rnacentral:rRNA from 1 species
UACGUAGGGUGCGAGCGUUAAUCGGAAUUACUGGGCGUAAAGAGCUCGUAGGCGGUUUGUCGCGUCGUCCGUGAAAACUUGGGGCUCAACCCCAAGCUUGCGGGCGAUACGGGCAGACUUGAGUACUGCAGGGGAGACUGGAAUUCCUGGUGUAGCGGUGAAAUGCGCAGAUAUCAGGAGGAACACCGGUGGCGAAGGCGGGUCUCUGGGCAGUAACUGACGCUGAGGAGUGAAAGCGUGGGUAGCAAACAGG